CAUUCUGAUUAGCUUUAGUACAAGUGAGAGUUAUUGGAAAAUAUAUUCUAAAGCCAAUCAUCUAAGUGGUAGAUGAUUGGAAUUAGUAUAUGAAUUAUCUAAUAAUAAUAGUUAUUUGGCAGGUUCAUCAUAAAAAUUCUAUCUUCUUUAAAUGAACUCCUAAAUUAUGAUGAAGUUCUUAGAACUAUAAUCAAUCGAUAAAGAAGGAUUUAUUAGAUGGUUCUUAGAUUGUUCACGACCAAAUGAUAAGUUAUUAACAAGGACGAUAAUUUAUCAAGUGUAGGUUGCUAUAUGCCAUAUGCGUUGGUUGUCCUCGUAACCAAGUAGUGUGGAGACACUAGUAUGGCAUCCAGAUGAGAUGUAGGAGUACAUCUGCACUGAACGUGACCAAUGUAAUACUCUACUGUCAAGAGUAGUUAGCUAAGGCCAAUGGGUAUAAGUGUCCCUC
rnacentral:lncRNA from 1 species